GAUGAACGCUGGCGGCGUGCCUAAUACAUGCAAGUCGAGCGAACGGACGAGAAGCUUGCUUCUCUGAUGUUAGCGGCGGACGGGUGAGUAACACGUGGAUAACCUACCUAUAAGACUGGGAUAAAAUCGGGAAAACGGAGCUAAUACCGGAUAAUAUUUUGAACCGCAUGGUUCAAAAGUGAAAGACGGUCUUGCUGUCACUUAUAGAUGGAUCCGCGCUGCAUUAGCUAGUUGGUAAGGUAACGGCUUACCAAGGCAACGAUGCAUAGCCGACCUGAGAGGGUGACCGGCCACACUGGAACUGAGACACGGUCCGGACUCCUACGGGGGGCAGCGGUAGGGAAUCUUCCGCAAUGGGCGAAAGCCUGACGGAGCACCGCCGCGUGAGUGAUGCAGGCCUCCGGAUCUUAAAACUCUGUUAUUGGGGAAGAACGUCUGUUUGAGUAUCUUUGCACAUCUUGACGGUACCUAAUCAGAAAGCCACGGCUAACUACGUG
rnacentral:rRNA from 1 species